UAGAUGUUUGUGUAGCGAGUAUGCGAGCGGAUCCAACAUCUAAUUUUAAUUAGAUUGCAAUACAUCCUACAUGUAUAUACUUUCUCUUUUUGAGAAAGUGUUAUAUGCAUCUUCAUGUACUUGCCUUCCAAAAAU